rnacentral:tRNA from 1 species
GCCUCUAUAGUGUAGUGGUCUAGCAUACGAGACUGUCACUCUCGCGACCCGGGUUCGAAUCCCGGUGGGGGCG